UGCCAGCCGCCGCGGUAAUACAGAGGGUGCAAACGUUGUUCGGAAUUACUGGGCAUAAAGCGCACGUAGGCGGCUAAGUAAGUGUGAGGUGAAAUCCCACGGCUCACCCGUGGAACUGCUUUGCAUACUGCUUGGCUCGAGGAAGGUAGGGGAGAGCAGAACUCUUGGAGGAGUGGUGAAAUGCGUAGAUAUCAAGAGGAAUACCAGUGGCGAAGGCGGCUCUCUGGUCCUUUUCUGACGCUGAGGUGCGAAAGCUAGGGUAGCGAACGGGAUUAGAUA
rnacentral:rRNA from 1 species